UGGGGAAUAUUGCACAAUGGAGGGAACUCUGAUGCAGCGACGCCGCGUGAACGAAGAAGGCUUUCGAGUCGUAAAGUUCUUUUAUAUGGGAAGAUAAUGACGGUACCAUAAGAAAAAGCCCCGGCUAACUACGUGCCAGCAGCCGCUGUAAUACGUAGGUCCCGAGCGUUGUCCGGAUUUAUUGGGCGUAAAGCGAGCGCAGGCGGUUAGAUAAGUCUGAAGUUAAAGGCAGUGGCUCAACCAUUGUAGGCUUUGGAAACUGUUUAACUUGAGUGCAGAAGGGGAGAGUGGAAUUCCAGGUGUAGCGGUGAAAUGCGUAGAGAUAUGGAGGAACACCGGUGGCGAAAGCGGCUCUCUGGUCUGUAACUGACGCUGAGGCUCGAAAGCGUGGGGAGCGAACAGG
rnacentral:rRNA from 1 species